rnacentral:rRNA from 1 species
CACACCGCCCGUCACACCAUGGGAGUCGAGUCCUCCAGAAGUGGCAGCGCCAACCCGCAAGGGAGGCAUGUCCCCAAGGAGGGCUUGGUAACUGGGGUG